UUUAUCUUCUUAUUUUCUCAGAUCCUGUUUACACCAUGUUAGAAUUGACUGACUUUGUAUCAGACUACGGAGAUCGUUUGUAUAUGACCAUCUUAGAUGCUAUUCGAGGAAUCGACAUUCCUAUUUCUACUUACAACAGUGAGGAGGAUCCUAAACCUGAGGACAAUUUAUUGGUAUAGAAACAAUGGUUUGUCAAUAAAAUUUGGAUCAAAUAGAGGGAGACCAAUAACAGUGAUGAUGACGAUGUUGAUGAUGAUGAUGAUGAUGUUGACCAUGGUGAUGAUAGUAGUGAAGGGUGUGAUGACGGUGGUGUUGGUGGUGGAUCCCUUCUUAAUCUCUUCUCUGCUGCACCGCAUCCUCGCUGCGUCUCAUCAAUUGAUUGACAAGAAAGACAGAAAGGAAAUUUUCAUCUUUAAAAGUUUUCAAUUCUAACAUUUAUGAUUAUCCGGAUAUUUGCAAAUACACAUGGGCAUGUACAAACACCUUCACACAUAAAUUUUAUAUAUAUA